AUGAUACUGGCGGGAGAGAUCUGGAAAACCAGACGCCGAAGGAGAAAAUCCCUGAAUCGCUUUUCAGGGAAGAAACUCUCAGGCAGAAAGUACCGCUAGUAGACG
rnacentral:ncRNA from 20 species